AUGGACGAGAGAAAUUUGAUUCUUCAAAAGGGUACAAAAUAUCAACUUAUGUAUAUUGGUGGAUUCGUCAGAUAGAAAUGCUGAAUUUCUCUUACAAGAAGUUAUGACGAUGCCAAUAUUAGGCAACUGAAGUAUAGAAGCCUCAGAAGGACCAGCUCCUACUACCAACAUCACCCGGCCAACUGGUACAGAAGAUAGACUCUGUUGCAAGUUCUAUUAUCAAUAUUAUUUCCACCUUUUAAGUUCUGAACAUGAAGAACAUCUUUGUUGUUAUUUGCUGCAAAUUUAUUUAUUUAUUAUAUAUUUGUGGAUCUUUUUUUGACUGGAUUAAGUGGGACUGGGUUGUAUUAUUAGAGUGGUUCUUUCACCUGCAACAUUAUAAAUAAAGUGGUGUAGAGGGAUCUUUCUACACUUUUUCUUCUGCUUUAA